rnacentral:misc_RNA from 1 species
AAGUCGUAACAAGGUUUCCGUAGGUGAACCUGCGGAAGGAUCAUUACAAAAUAUCAAAAAUGCCCCCCUCGGGCGUUUUUGCAGGACGGGGGCAACCCCUGUUGCCCCCGACUGUUUAACCCUUUGUGAAAACCCUCUGUUGCCUCGGCGGCACUCCCGACCGCGCGGCUUAGCGCUGCUGCGGGAGGGAUGGUCAGUCCGCCGGCGGCACCCAUCGAAAACCCAUAACCAAUUUUGAAGAAGACGUCUGAAAAUUAAAAGUCGAAUGACUAUAAAACUUUCAACAACGGAUCUCUUGGUUCCC